UCAAGAGGGUGUAGAAAAAAGUUCCUCUGCAAUCCGGACGGCAAGUCGAUUAGCAAAAGGGAGGGAAACUUUUGGACCCGUACAGAAAAAAAGAUGUGGGAUGACCUUGCGUGCGGUGCUGUGGUGUAUCAGCUCCACUUUAAGAGAAGGGUGGGUGAUCGUGUGGUGUGUUCAUCUAUUUACAAAGAGGACCCAAUUCAGCCGAAGCUUGACAUAUGAAAAGCAUUGAACUGUUGAACUGUGAAGGGAUGCGAAGCUGAAAACUUGCAUAAGUUCAUCUCUUUGCUAUAUACUUGAUAGCUCCAGGCGCAUCGAUGGGAGAAAUCCAAGGUUGCCAUCUUUGUGUUCAGUGGAAUCUGGCAGUAGUUGCUUCGCAUGUAAUUUCCUGGUCCAAACUUUUUCAAGACAAAUAGUGAAUAUCAGAAUAUCACAGUUCAUUCUUUUACUCAGUGCUCUCCUUCUCCUGUAAUCUCUUGCAUAGAAAAUGUGCCUCAAAGUUCUAAUCUAUCACAAAUUACGGACGCAAAUACAGAACAUGGUCAAUCAAUCUUCUAAUAAAUCAGCAUCAUCUGGGGUACUGCAAAUGCUUGCUUUUCGUUUUGCAGUUUUACGUGUUUCUUGCAAACUCGGGACUUAUUCUCUCUGCACCAUUGAUAUUUGAUAAUUAAUUGUUAUACUUAUUUUUUCAGUCAGCUCGUUUAAUGGAAUAUUUCCUUGAUCAUGCUAAAGACAACACAGAGAAGGGUUUAGAAACCUGCAGGAUUCUUGGCGCCUUUCUUGUAAGAUUCACACUCUGGUUCUAAAAGCAUUUUUCUUAUUGCAUAAGAAACUAUCUUCAGAUUUCUGGACAGUUUCUUCUGUCUCCGAAUCUUGUUUAGUGAAACCCAAUAUCUCUCAGUUUCUCACCAUUUGCAAUCUCGAAAUCAGUACGGUUGUGAUUACUCUGGUCUUUUAGUCCAUAUGUACACAUUCAAAAUGUUAUAAACGAUCAAGAAGCUUUUGCCAUACAAAACGAACAGUCACCUUUUCCGGUUGGAUGGAUCCUUGUAGGUCAUAAUUAUCUAUUCUUCUGCUGCUUGCUUCCUCCUGUAUCACUCUACACUUGACAGAUUCUUGUUCACUUUGUUAACCAUUUGUUUUCAGAGUCUCAGACACAUCUUUCUCAAAGUUGUUUCAUAUCAUCAGUGGAUUGCCACACUCAUUCUUCAUAUCAGGUUAUGAUACCUGAGGCUUUUGCCAUUGUCACGACUCCAACUGAUACCUCAAGCAUCUUCGAUCUUCGACAACAAUGGAAGCACCCUUGGUUGUGGCCAUUAGUCUUUGCUAUGCACGGCCAUGCCACUCUGAUGUUUUGACAUUGACAUAACAAUUUCGGUCAGUUGGUGCAAAAGGGAAUGAAGGGGAGAAUGCAGUAAUUUGGGAACGUAUCUUCUCUGUUCACCAGUUUCCCCUUGAAAAUUUGACCACUACGCCGAGCCGUCGCGUUGGUAGCGAAAUAAGAAUUCUAUUGCAAAACUAAUUACGUAUGCCAGUUGGAUAUGCAACUGCAUCUGCACGACACCUUCCCGGAAAGAGAACGACGCUGCAGUUAAAACACAUAGCUAUGUUGUUAUGUACGAGGAAUUUUAGCCAUUCAAAAGCUUAUUGAUCAAUGUUUAAAUAUUAGAAUUUAUGUUCUUAAUCUUUGGUUUUACUCAAAUUCUAUGUAAGGGCUUACAUCAAAAGCUUCGCCUUCGUGGAUCAUCAUCAUUUGCCAACUUAUUCAAAUUUCUAGCAAAAUCCCCGUACUUUUUACUUUGUUUC